GAUGAACGCUGGCGGCGUGCCUAAUACAUGCAAGUCGAGCGAACAGACGAGGAGCUAGCUCCUCUGACGUUAGCGGCGGACGGGUGAGUAACACGUGGAUAACCUACCUAUAAGACUGGGAUAACUUCGGGAAACCGGAGCUAAUACCGGAUAAUAUAUUGAACCGCAUGGUUCAAUAGUGAAAGACGGUUUUGCUGUCACUUAUAGAUGGAUCCGCGCCGCAUUAGCUAGUUGGUAAGGUAACGGCUUACCAAGGCAACGAUGCGUAGCCGACCUGAGAGGGUGAUCGGCCACACUGGAACUGAGACACGGUCCAGACUCCUACGGGAGGCAGCAGUAGGGAAUCCUCCGCAAUGGGCGAAAGCCUGACGGAGCAACGCCGCGUGAGUGAUGAAGGUCUUCGGAUCGUAAAACUCUGUUAUUAGGGAAGAACAAAUGUGUAAGUAACUAUGCACGUCUUGACGGUACCUAAUCAGAAAGCCACGGCUAACUACGUG
rnacentral:rRNA from 1 species